AGUUCUUUUGCCUUCUGUUUGAAUCUCUUUGUAAUUUCCUAUUUUUAUUUUUACAGUCAAAAAUGUAGAAACUGUAAAGAAAACAAAUGGUCUCCUGAAAUAAGCAGAGAGAUAGAUGCUGUGCAUGAAGAGUACCAGCAGAAACUGAGAGACCAGGAAGCUUUCCACAGGAAACAAAUUCAACGGCAGCAACUCUAUGUUGAGGAUUUAAAGCAGCAGAUCCUCAGAGGACAGAUCAAAGCAGAGCAGGAACUAGAAAAUGACCAAGCACUCAUCAACCAGCAGAUCCAAGAAAGUAGGUACCCGCCUCCUGCCCUCUCUCACUUCCCUUCCAUUACUGAAUUCUUUCAUCCUCUUCAUGUUUUGUUGUUUGUUUUUUUUUUUGUCUUAGUUAUGCUUUGUGUUAUGGGUGGAAGUUUAUUUUUACAGCUUAUUACUAGUUUUCUCCUAUUAUUGCCUUUCCCUUGAGAACAAUUAUCAAGCUUUGAUUAACAGGACUAACAGGGCUCCUUUGCAGUGCCCCAGCAGCAGUAAUUAUCUUUGCAGGUCACUGCUGGGAGAGACAGCACCAACACGUUGUUCCUGCUGUGGCACUGAGCCUCUCAUCUCCCCAGCUGCUCCCCAUCCUGCUUCCCUGCAGUUUUGCUCUGAUUGUAUCUGUAGUGCAACUCUCCCAUGUGAGACUCAUAGACUGAGUUUUCCAUUGUAUUUCACAGUUUUCUUUUGAUUUAUCUGUGCUUCAUCCAUUGCAUUGUUCCAAGAGACUGAAAUUCAGAUGGCCAUGGUAGUUCUAUAAGUUUUCAAGGGAAACUGCUCUAACAACAGCAUGACAUAGGAACCUAGCAGCACUUCUGAGAGAGCUGAUGCCUUGGAACUGCAACAUGUGUUGGUUAACGUGCUCUGUCUAUGCGUUUGUUGAUGAUCUCACCAGUAGCACAGUGCAGACCUUAUUCAUGUGCUUUUAGGGAAGGCCCAUGGCAUAGAACCAUGCUUCAAACUGUGGUUGCUUUGUGAGUUUUAAGCAGUGCUCAUCUGAGAAGUAGGUGGGACACUAAAGUUCACUUCAUGCUUAGUUCUCAGCAGAAGAUUUUGAAACACAUUAUAAUUCAUUUCAGAUUAAAGCUUUAUGGUGUUUUGUCUGCUUGCAUUUUCCAGAUGGAAGUGUAAUGAAGUGAGAAAGUUCUAGUUUUUGUUGAGAUUUUAACUUCAACAGGAACUCUACAGUGAUCAGUGUUAUAUUGCAUAUACAUCCUAUAGGCCAGAUUCAGCAGAGAAACUGUUGUCUUCCUAAACUGAAAGUAAUUGGAUAAAAUACUGGUGAUACUGGUCUGGCACAAACUUCAGCUCUACGCUAACUAUGCCAUGAAAAGCCUAUUUGGAGAAGUGUUUGCUAGCAUCAGUGGCUUCCAUCCCCGAGAGAUGCUGCUUUGCAUGCAGAUAUAUUCAGCAAGGUUUUUCUUGGUGACUGCCUGUUAAAGAUUUUGUAGACUGAUUUGGCAACAUUUUAAACCUUGAGAAGCUCUUGACCACUGAAUAGGGUUGCUAUUGUGUUCUUCUAGUUACCUUCUAAUGAAUGAUUUGGUCCAAGUUUCUUGAUAAGGAACAACAGAGAGAGAACACCAUUUCCAUUUGGCAAGGCCUGCUAUUGGUUCCUGGAAGAGGAAUGAUUUUUGAAUUUUUUGAGGUUUCUCAGAGCCAAACUUACACAGUCUGCCAUCUUUCAAUUACACCACCCAUAAAUAAAAGAUUAAAGAGAAAAUUGUGGAAGUAGGAA
rnacentral:lncRNA from 1 species